CCUUUACCUUUCAAUCUUCAAAUCCCUUCCAUCAACAACUUCAUCACCUACCCAGUUGAGAAAACUGGAUCCCUUCUCCAAUUGAUUCUUGUAAUUCCUCCAGCCCCAAAACUUUUUCCCAACAUUGACACUAUUCCGAUAUGUAACCGUACGCAUCACACACUCUUCUUGGCACCAACAAUUCAUUCUUUUGUUUCUUAUCACCACAACCAAAUGACCCGCCACUUUGGGUGUUUCAUUUUGAGAAAUUACUGGAGUUUAUUGACAUCUUCAAGGAAGCUUCGUAGAAAUCGUUUACGUGAACAAAGAUGA